GUCAGCGAGUCACUGCUCUUUUAGCACUAACCCCUCUUAUAAUCUUUCAUCAUGUUUUUCUUGUUAGUAUUACUAUGACAUUACGCCCAGGCUUCGUAAAACUUUUGGCUCCGCCACUAGAAACAAGUGCACUUAAGUAAAGCAUCCUCUGUUUGUACUACUGGGACAGAGAAGAACAGUAGCAGGUAGCAAAACUGAUGGUAUUUCAAUGUCUAGAGCCGUACAGCAAGAAUAAAUCAUAGCAAAAAGUAUGGUUUUCACACGGCCCUAGGUCGCAGGCGAUAAAAGAUGACUAUGAUCCAACUGGUUUCGGGAAGAACCUCACAGGGCUGGCGGGAGAAGGAACAACCAAGACCCUCCUCACCACUGAUUCACACCAGCUGGUGGCGGAGCUCAUAACGCGCGUACAAGCGGCGGCAAACACAACUCCACCAGACGUCGCGUGCGUGGGCUGCCAACGGGUGCUGGCUCACAUCCAUGGGAAAGGCACAGCGGCGGAGAGAGAAGAAACAGCGGUGGAAGGAUUACCUUCCUGCCAGGCUGCGACGGCGGUGGCGUCAAUCGAUAUCAGCGAGCCCUUGCCGGCGAGGAGGGCGGCGACGGGUGACGAACAGACGAUUAGGCAAUGGCCGAGUGGCGUCGCUGCGCAAGUGGACCUCCCACUCUUCCUCUGCUUCAUCAGUUCUUCUAUAGCCAUCGACUGGGCCUUAAUUUAACACAUAUCACACAAUUUUA